UACGUAGGUGGCAAGCGUUGUCCGGAAUUAUUGGGCGUAAAGCGCGCGCAGGCGGUCCUUUAAGUCUGAUGUGAAAGCCCACGGCUCAACCGUGGAGGGUCAUUGGAAACUGGGGGACUUGAGUACAGAAGAGAAGAGUGGAAUUCCACGUGUAGCGGUGAAAUGCGUAGAGAUGUGGAGGAACACCAGUGGCGAAGGCGACUCUCUGGACGGCAACUGACGCUGAGGCACGAAAGCGUGGGGAGCAAACAGG
rnacentral:rRNA from 1 species